rnacentral:misc_RNA from 1 species
AAGAGUGUAAAAACUCCCAAACCCAUGUGAACCUACCACUGUUGCCUCGGUGGGCUGCCCUGCGUGGCCUGCCGAAGGACCUCAAAACUCUUUUUCAUUAUGAAUCUCUGAGUACAACUUUUAAAUAAGUAA